GUUGGUGUACUAGAGCGACUAUCUGGAGGACUAGCAUCAGGACUAUUGCAAGGUGUUGCAGUGGGCGUAUAAUUCCUCUCUCCACUCGGCGUUAAUGAAGUAGGGUUAGAGUAUUCUUCAUCUUCUUCAAGAUCGCUUAAAGUGAAAGUAACUAGACCUAAAUCCUCCAGGCCUCGACCUCCUCUUGUUUUUACUCCUGGCCGUUCUUCUAAAAGACCACCUAAGAAAUAAAAUAGUGAUUUAAUUAAAUAUUUUUAUAUUCACAUUCUGAUAGUUUCAUUUCUCAAUAAAUGUAAUUUAAUUAUAUACAAUAACGUGGUAGAUAAAAUACUGGUAAAUAUAAUAUUUUUCAUUGUAUUCUUGCAAGAGGCAAAGCUAUUGUAUGUAUAUUAUCUAUAUCUAUUACAAUAUAUUAUACAUAUACUGUUAUUAAAAUAUAUUAAUAAAAUAUAUUUUUUAAAAUAAUUUUAACAGAGGAUCAUACAGCAUUA